UCCAGAAUCCAUCAGCAAGUUGCUCUGGGCCUGGGGUGAUCCAUCAGCUUCAUAUUUGCUUGCACAGCAACAAUCACAGGAUUUCAGUAACUAUGUGAAGGAUUCAGAGCCGUAGUGGAGUCCGGCACACUGCAUUUUCAAGCUACUGCAUCAAGUUUUCAUUAACCAAAUCGAUGCACUGCUACUCUAACAUCAACUACUCAUGCAAAUGGAUAAGAGAAGAGGCAUGGAGAAGAAACACCGUACCAGAUCCGUGAGGACGACCAAGCCGCUCCAGAUCCGCCGGUUGCUCCAGCGCCUCUCCAAAUACGCCGCUCGGCCUCCGCUCUGCAUCCAGUGCCGACGAGCGCAGAUCCAGCGCCUCCCUCGCCUAGAUCGAGCGCCGGCGCACGCAAAUCCAUCGCCUCUGUCGCCCAAAAGCUCGUCGCCGGCGCAAAAAAUUCAUUCUUUGACCUUGGAUGUGGGGCGUGAAUGGACGCCGGGUAUGAGUGGACGCCGGACGUGAAUGGAUGCCGGGUGUGGACGCGGAGAAAGGUGGCGGCGACGGCGAGAUAUGCUAGAGAGGCCGGCGACGGAGAGUCAGGGAG
rnacentral:lncRNA from 1 species